rnacentral:rRNA from 1 species
GGACAACCUACCCUGAGGUCGGGGAUAAACCCGGGAAACUGGGUAUAAUACCCGAUAGAUCUAGAUUGCUGGAAUGCUUUUAGGUCUAAAGCUCCGACGCCUCAGGAUGGGUCUGCGGCCUAUCAGGGUAGUAGUAGGUGUAAAGUACCUACUAGCCUACGACGGGUACGGGUUGUGAGAGCAAGAGCCCGGAGAUGGAUUCUGAGACACGAAUCCAGGCCCUACGGGGUGCAGCAGGCGCGAAACCUUUACAAUGCUGGCAACAGCGAUAAGGGGACCUCGAGUGCCACGAUACAAUCGUGGCUGUCUAGUUGCCUAAAAAGCAAUUGAUAGCAAGGGCCGGGCAAGACCGGUGCCAGCCGCCGCGGUAACACCGGCGGCUCGAGUGGUAACCGCUAUUAUUGGGUCUGAAGGGUCUGUAGCCGGCUUAGUUAGUCUCUUGAGAAAUCUGGCCGCUCAACGGUCAGGCGUUCAGGGGAUACUGCUAAAGCUCGAGACCGGGAGAGGCGAGAGGUACUUCAGGGGUAGGGGUGAAAUCUUGUAAUCCUUGAAGGACCACCAGUGGCGAAGGCGUCUCACCAGAACGGGUCUGACGGCAAGGGACGAAAGCUAGGGGCACGAACCGGAUUAGAUACCCGGGUAGUCCUAGCCGUAAACGAUACUCGCUAGGUGUCGGCCACGGUGCGACCGUGGUCGGUGCCGUAGGGAAGCCGUGAAGCGAGCCACCUGGGAAGUACGGCCGCAAGGCUGAAACU